rnacentral:rRNA from 1 species
UGGGGAAUAUUGCACAAUGGGCGCAAGCCUGAUGCAGCCAUGCCGCGUGUAUGAAGAAGGCCUUCGGGUUGUAAAGUACUUUCAGCGGGGAGGAAGGGAGUAAAGUUAAUACCUUUGCUCAUUGACGUUACCCGCAGAAGAAGCACCGGCUAACUCCGUGCCAGCAGCCGCGGUAAUACGGAGGGUGCAAGCGUUAAUCGGAAUUACUGGGCGUAAAGCGCACGCAGGCGGUUUGUUAAGUCAGAUGUGAAAGCCCCGGGCUCAACCUGGGAACUGCAUCUGAUACUGGCAAGCUUGAGUCUCGUAGAGGGGGGUAGAAUUCCAGGUGUAGCGGUGAAAUGCGUAGAGAUCUGGAGGAAUACCGGUGGCGAAGGCGGCCCCCUGGACGAAGACUGACGCUCAGGUGCGAAAGCGUGGGGAGCAAACAGG